GCACAAGGUGUCCUCUCACCAGCAGCAGCUGCCAUCUCCUGAUUCAGGUUUGUAAUGCAGUGUAAGUUUUGCAAAUUUGUAAACAGUAGCUGAGAAGUUCUCCUGAAACACUACAGACUACAUCGCUAUCAAGGAGCAUGCUGGCAGCAGCCUUGUUUGUUCGCAGACUGCUUCUGCACUUUAAAGACUCUGAUGUCCGAAAACAGUGGCCUGCAUGUUUUUGGGAGUUCAGGUCUAUGCUGAGUUUUACAGGAUUACUCAAACCAACCUCAAAAAUACCUUCUCUUUUUUGAAUGAAUACGCUAUCAAGUUUUAUCGAUCAUGCGGUGGGCGAUAUGGAGAGAUAAUAAGGACCCCCCUGGAACAACUGGACAAUCAAACGUCUAAUGUGCUCGCUCAAAGGAAGGCUACAGCUCUGAAAGGUCUACUUUGUUUAUGAGGGAAAAGUUCUGGAAGACUUGCCUGGACACAGAGCCAGAAGAUAUUUGCGCAAAAGAGAUGGAGAUGGACAUCCUUAGCACUGUUGAA
ensembl:processed_transcript